ensembl:snoRNA SNORD24 Small nucleolar RNA SNORD24
UGCAGAUGAUGUAAAUGAAUAUUUGCUAUCUUAAGAACACUGAAGACAACCCCACCAAGAUCGCUGAUGCA